rfam:Cicer arietinum chromosome Ca8, whole genome shotgun sequence.
UAGUUAAUGAGGGAGCUUUCUUUAGUCCACUAAUGGGUGACAUGUAGGAUUUAAUUAGCUGCCGAAUCAUUCAUCCAAAUGGUGAGUAAAUAGAAUGAAUGAAUACUCAUCAAAUGAGUGAAUGAAGCGGGAGACAAAUUGAAUCUUAAGUUUCCUAUACUUGGACUGAAGGGAGCUCCCUUUUCUUAUUUA